rnacentral:rRNA from 1 species
CUACGUGCCAGCAGCCGCGGUAAUACGGAGGAUGCGAGCGUUAUCCGGAUUUAUUGGGUUUAAAGGGUGCGUAGGCGGCCUGUUAAGUCAGCGGUGAAAUCUAGGAGCUUAACUCCUAAAUUGCCAUUGAUACUGGCGGGCUUGAGUGUAGAUGAGGUAGGCGGAAUGCGUGGUGUAGCGGUGGAAUGCAUAGAUAUCACGCAGAACUCCGAUUGCGAAGGCAGCUUACUAAGGUACAACUGACGCUGAAGCACGAAAGCGUGGGUAUCAAACAGGAUUAGAUACCCUGGUAGUCCACGCAGUAAACGAUGAUAACUGGGCGUAUGCGAUAUACAGUAUGCUCCUAAGCGAAAGCGUUAAGUUAUCCACCUGGGGAGUACGCCGGCAACGGUGAAACUCAAAGGAAUUGACGGGGGCCCGCACAAGCGGAGGAACAUGUGGUUUAAUUCGAUGAUACGCGAGGAACCUUACCCGGGCUUGAACUAACGGUGACGAAUCUAGAGAUAG